UACAGAGGGUGCGAGCGUUAAUCGGAAUUACUGGGCGUAAAGGGCGCGUAGGUGGUUAAUUAAGUCAGAUGUGAAAUCCCUGGGCUUAACCUAGGAAUUGCAUUUGAAACUGAUUAGCUAGAGUUUGGGAGAGGGAAGUGGAAUUUCCGGUGUAGCGGUGAAAUGCGUAGAUAUCGGAAGGAACACCAGUGGCGAAGGCGAGUCUCUGGACAUUUCCUGACGCUCAGGCACGAAAGCCAGGGGAGCAAACGGG
rnacentral:rRNA from 1 species